rnacentral:rRNA from 1 species
GAUGAACGCUGGCGGCGUGCCUAAUACAUGCAAGUCGAGCGAACAGACGAGGAGCUUGCUCCUCUGACGUUAGCGGCGGACGGGUGAGUAACACGUGGAUAACCUACCUAUAAGACUGGGAUAACUUCGGGAAACCGGGGCUAAUACCGGAUAAUAUAUUGAACCGCAUGGUUCAAUAGUGAAAGACGGUUUUGCUGUCACUUAUAGAUGGAUCCGCGCCGCAUUAGCUAGUUGGUAAGGUAACGGCUUGCCAAGGCGACGAUGCGUAGCCGACCUGAGAGGGUGAUCGGCCACACUGGAACUGAGACACGGUCCAGACUCCUACGGGAGGCAGCAGUAGGGAAUCUUCCGCAAUGGGCGAAAGCCUGACGGAGCAACGCCGCGUGAGUGAUGAAGGUCUUCGGAUCGUAAAACUCUGUUAUUAGGGAAGAACAAAUGUGUAAGUAACUAUGCACGUCUUGACGGUACCUAAUCAGAAAGCCACGGCUAACUACGUG